rnacentral:rRNA from 1 species
CCUACGGGAGGCAGCAGUGGGGAAUAUUGGACAAUGGGCGAAAGCCUGAUCCAGCCAUGCCGCGUGUGUGAAGAAGGUCUUCGGAUUGUAAAGCACUUUAAGUUGGGAGGAAGGGCAGUAAGUUAAUACCUUGCUGUUUUGACGUUACCGACAGAAUAAGCACCGGCUAACUCUGAGCCAGCAGCCGCGGUAAU